rnacentral:rRNA from 1 species
AGUGAACGCUGGCGGUAGGCCUAACACAUGCAAGUCGAACGGCAGCACAGUAAGAGCUUGCUCUUACGGGUGGCGAGUGGCGGGCGGGUGAGGAAUACAUCGGAAUCUACUUUUUCGUGGGGGAUAACGUAGGGAGACUUACGCUAAUACCGCAUACGACCUACGGGUGAAAGCAGGGGAUCUUCGGACCUUGCGCGAUUGAAUGAGCCGAUGUCGGAUUAGCUAGUUGGCGGGGUAAAGGCCCACCAAGGCGACGAUCCGUAGCUGGUCUGAGAGGAUGAUCGGCCACACUGGAACUGAGACACGGUCCAGACUCCUACGGGAGGCAGCAGUGGGGAAUAUUGGACAAUGGGCGAAAGCCUGAUCCAGCCAUACCGCGUGGGUGAAGAAGGCCUUCGGGUUGUAAAGCCCUUUUGUUGGGAAAGAAAAGCAGCAGGUUAAUACCCCGCUGUUCUGACGGUACCCAAAGAAUAAGCACCGGCUAACUUCGUG